AGUUUGAUCCUGGCUCAGGAUGAACGCUGGCGGCGUGCCUAACACAUGCAAGUCGAGCGAUUCUCUUCGGAGAAGAGCGGCGGACGGGUGAGUAACGCGUGGGUAACCUGCCCUGUACACACGGAUAACAUACCGAAAGGUAUGCUAAUACGAGAUAAUAUGCUUUUAUCGCAUGGUAGAAGUAUCAAAGUUUUUGCGGUACAGGAUGGACCCGCGUCUGAUUAGCUAGUUGGUAAGGUAACGGCUUACCAAGGCGACGAUCAGUAGCCGACCUGAGAGGGUGAUCGGCCACAUUGGAACUGAGACACGGUCCAAACUCCUACGGGAGGCAGCAGUGGGGAAUAUUGCACAAUGGGCGAAAGCCUGAUGCAGCAACGCCGCGUGAGCGAUGAAGGCCUUCGGGUCGUAAAGCUCUGUCCUCAAGGAAGAUAAUGACGGUACUUGAGGAGGAAGCCCCGGCUAACUACGUGCCAGCAGCCGCGGUAAUACGUAGGGGGCUAGCGUUAUCCGGAAUUACUGGGCGUAAAGGGUGCGUAGGUGGUUUCUUAAGUCAGAGGUGAAAGGCUACGGCUCAACCGUAGUAAGCCUUUGAAACUGGGAAACUUGAGUGCAGGAGAGGAGAGUGGAAUUCCUAGUGUAGCGGUGAAAUGCGUAGAUAUUAGGAGGAACACCAGUUGCGAAGGCGGCUCUCUGGACUGUAACUGACACUGAGGCACGAAAGCGUGGGGAGCAAACAGGAUUAGAUACCCUGGUAGUCCACGCCGUAAACGAUGAGUACUAGCUGUCGGAGGUUACCCCCUUCGGUGGCGCAGCUAACGCAUUAAGUACUCCGCCUGGGAAGUACGCUCGCAAGAGUGAAACUCAAAGGAAUUGACGGAAGG
rnacentral:rRNA from 1 species